AAAGACUGUAUGUUGGUCGCACAUCGUACUCGGGUAAUAGCGCGGAACUGAGCCAGGGUGCCCGCGUAACACGGUCUGCUGGAGGCCAAAAAUGGUAGCCUUCAGCAGGCCAUGCCCGCGUCAUCGCCCGCCGGCGUUGAACGACGUCGCCCGGGCGAGGCCUGGCACGCGGAGCUGUCACCACUCCCCAGGGAGCAGCGCACAGAUGACCGCUUAGGUUUAAGACUUAGGUUUAAGUGAAAUUGGACUAUAUGGCUUAUAUUAUGACAAGACUAGCGAUUAACAUUUUGAAGCCAAGGUCAUUAUAAUCUAUCAUGUGGCUAAGCAUGCCCUUAUAGUCCUGGGGUGAGACACGUCGGGCUGGAACCCACGUGGGACCCCAACAACGCCAUCUAGCCACCAGCCUUUCAAAUGUGAACUCGUUUGCUGAUGUUUGUUGAACCAGAUGAAGACUUUAACUAAUUCUUUUCCGUUACUUAGAUUUAAGUUUAUAUUUCCUUCAUCCAGUUCUUAGUUUAGUGCUUUGCGAUAAUAAAUUUAAGAUGGUUAUUAGGUUAGCGAAAUAAGUUUUUUGGUUUUUGUAUAAUUCAUUACUAACAGUCAGUUGUGUCCAGGUAACGAGCGAAAUAGAUUUAAGUGUUUAUUAUAUUGUCGUUACUUUCUAGUUUUAAGGACUUGCAUUUAGUUUUAAGUCGAUCAUUUGUUUGUUUUUUUUUGCUUUAUUUUUCAUAUGUUUUAUUAAAUAGUUUUCUUUCUUUAA